CUAGCUAACGUUAUGUGAGCUGUCACACUGCAGCUAACCUGCUAAUUAGCAAGCUAUGUAUAACAGUUGGCCAGAAAAUGGUAAUUUAUGGCCAUUAUUCUUUUAUUUUAGGCGGUUAUCUUUGCUUUAGGUCACUGUAGGUAUGGAAGCCACGAGGUCAGAGUGAGUUGAGUCCCGUGUCAGAAGCGUCCCCACGUUGACCUGCGCCUGACUGGCCUCCCAGCAAAAAGCCCCUGUGAAGCCUCGGGACCCUGCAGAGUGACAUGCGACAGAGGAACUGGUAGAAAACCAAGGAUGUGAGCAUGGCAAUAGACUUGUAAAAGAGCCUGCAACAACUGCAAGCAGCAUGGGGUACAAACAGCACUGGGUUGAUCUCAAACAAAAUGCAGAGGGAGGCGGGCCAGCUGAAGAUGUGUCAGAUAUCCGAAGAGAAAGAGGAUGGCUGCUGGAUGUAUUAACAGAUCUCGUGUUUGUGCAGUCAGGUGUUUGCACGUAGUUUGUGAUUAUUUUUGCAACCAUAAAUGAUCGUCCUUCUUCUCCCUCAGAGUCCAUUAACCAUUCUCUCCUCUCCUU